rnacentral:rRNA from 1 species
AACGAACGCUGGCGGCAUGCCUAACACAUGCAAGUCGAACGAGUGCCUUCGGGUGCUAGUGGCGCACGGGUGCGUAACGCGUGGGAAUCUGCCCUUUGGUUCGGAAUAACAGUUGGAAACGACUGCUAAUACCGGAUGAUGACGAAAGUCCAAAGAUUUAUCGCCAGAGGAUGAGCCCGCGUAGGAUUAGCUAGUUGGUGUGGUAAAGGCGCACCAAGGCGACGAUCCUUAGCUGGUCUGAGAGGAUGAUCAGCCACACUGGGACUGAGACACGGCCCAGACUCCUACGGGAGGCGGCAGUGGGGAAUAUUGGACAAUGGGCGAAAGCCUGAUCCAGCAAUGCCGCGUGAGUGAUGAAGGCCUUAGGGUUGUAAAGCUCUUUUACCCGGGAUGAUAAUGACAGUACCGGGAGAAUAAGCUCCGGCUAACUCCGUGCCAGCAGCCGCGGUAAUACGGAGGGAGCUAGCGUUGUUCGGAAUUACUGGGCGUAAAGCGCACGUAGGCGGCUUUGUAAGUUAGAGGUGAAAGCCUGGAGCUCAACUCCAGAACUGCCUUUAAGACUGCAUCGCUUGAAUCCAGGAGAGGUGAGUGGAAUUCCGAGUGUAGAGGUGAAAUUCGUAGAUAUUCGGAAGAACACCAGUGGCGAAGGCGGCUCACUGGACUGGUAUUGACGCUGAGGUGCGAAAGCGUGGGGAGCAAACAGG